ACCUUACUCCAUACUCACGCAGCCAACUUCUUCUCUUCUCUCAGCUUGCAGUCACGUACUCCAUAAGCCUCCUUCUUCUCUCGUGCAAGUCAGCCCCUCCGGCCACCAUCACCGCCCACCAUCAACACCGACUCCUCUCCUCCAAAGUCCGGUCGUUCUUCUCCUCCAAAAUUCGCAGUGCUGUCCUCCAGACUCCGGCCGUUCUUCUUCACCGGCCUAGCUACGUCCUCCUCUGCGUCAUCUUCACCGGCGACGAGGCCAAAGUAUUCUUAAUUUGGUUAAGGAUGGUUUUGUCACCGGGAAGCCUACCGAGAUCAAGUCGAGGCCCGUGCUAGGCGUAUGAAUAAGGCAUGAGGAAGGGUCGUUACUCUAGAUAUGCAUUUCCUAUGUGUAGAGGCUAGAUAUGUUGGGGAUUAUUUGGCACUGCCAAUGCACCAAGAUAUUAAACAUUUUCUCCUCAGCUCAGUUUCUUAUCUGAAGCAAAAAUCAAGAUAAUUCAGGUUUUCAAAACUCCGAGGGAGGGGCCCUUUACCAAAGAGGAGUUGGAUGAAGUUCGAGACAAGUGGGCUACUUACUUCAACGAUUGUGAACUACCCUCAGUGUAAUAAAUAGAGCAGGCUUGUAGUUAUCCGUGACUCUUACAUUAUUUUGUUAUUUAUCGAUUUAAUUAAUUACAUUUGAAUUAAUUCGGUAAUAUUAUUGGAAAUUUAAAAUUUAUAUCAGUUUUGAGGAAUGUCAAGCUGAUGUUUGAUGAAACAGUAUUCUAUAAAUUAUAAUGCAGAAUUUAUAUUGCAAAAUCAGAAAUUAUAUUGCAGAA